rnacentral:tRNA from 1 species
GGCCCGCUAGCUCAGUUGGAUAGAGCAACUGCCCUCUAAGCAGUAGGUCUCAGGUUCGAAUCCUGAGCGGGUCA